rnacentral:rRNA from 1 species
GACGAACGCUGGCGGCGUGCCUAAUACAUGCGAGUAGAACGCUGAAGGAGGAGCUUGCUUCUCUGGAUGAGUUGCGAACGGGUGAGUAACGCGUAGGUAACCUGCCUGGUAGCGGGGGAUAACUAUUGGAAACGAUAGCUAAUACCGCAUAAUAGCAGUUAUUGCAUGAUAACUGUUUGAAAGGUGCAAUUGCACCACUACCAGAUGGACCUGCGUUGUAUUAGCUAGUUGGUGGGGUAACGGCUCACCAAGGCGACGAUACAUAGCCGACCUGAGAGGGUGAUCGGCCACACUGGGACUGAGACACGGCCCAGACUCCUACGGGAGGCAGCAGUAGGGAAUCUUCGGCAAUGGACGGAAGUCUGACCGAGCAACGCCGCGUGAGUGAAGAAGGUUUUCGGAUCGUAAAGCUCUGUUGUAAGAGAAGAACGAGUGUGAGAGUGGAAAGUUCACACUGUGACGGUAUCUUACCAGAAAGGGACGGCUAACUACGUG